CCGGCGACCGGCGCACGGUGAGUAACACGUAUGCAACCUGCCCUCUUCAGGGGGACAACCUUCCGAAAGGGAGGCUAAUCCCGCGUAUAUCGGUUUCGGGCAUCCGAGAUCGAGGAAAGAUUCAUCGGAAGAGGAUGGGCAUGCGGCGCAUUAGCUAGACGGCGGGGUAACGGCCCACCGUGGCGACGAUGCGUAGGGGUUCUGAGAGGAAGGUCCCCCACACUGGUACUGAGACACGGACCAGACUCCUACGGAAGGCAGCAG
rnacentral:rRNA from 1 species